GCAAAUAAAAGAAAUUAGUCAGAGUUCAACACUGUAUAAUAUUGGGUGUGGUCGGUGUAAUAAGCCCAUCCCACCUGCUAAUAUAAUGUGUCAGAAAUGUGAGGGUAGACUUAAUAUCUGCUCUGUGUGUCAUGCUCCUGUUAAAGGAUUAUACUCAAUGUGUGAGGUGUGUGGUCAUGGUGGCCACAUGUCUCAUUUGAAGGAAUGGUUCAGUACUAACAGCUGGUGUCCAUCUGGUUGUGGACAUAACUGUGUAACAUGA